AUGUGUAGUACAGUAGAGGAGUACAAUGUUACUUACUGGGGUAGUACAUCGGGCAGCUACGCUUCCUUAUCAAUUUGGUUGCUCGUGCAGCCAUGGCCCUGGAGGAUUGGGGGUGGAGGUCCCGGUUAUGCUGUGUGUGACGUACGUUGCAGACUUGCAGUGACUCCUCUACAUUCGUAUGCAGCGACUCCUCUACGUCCGUGCCGCUGCCCGGAGCAGGGACUCCGGGAUUUGUGCGUGUUAUCCAUUUGCAAAACAAAAGAAAAACGAGUCGCCUUGGCAGAAAUCGUCGUCGCUGAUGAGAUGGGAUGUUUGUGUUUGAUUUCAUUCAGAUCGAUGUGGUUUAUGUGUACUGUUCUUGGAAGGAAUAUGUCCACAGGAAAAGAGAAGGGAGAAGUGGUACGGAAGGAGAAGGGAAAAGCGAGGGGAAUGCCUGGCAAUGGCGCCACAGGGGGAAGGAAUAUGAUGAAACAUCGCUUCUUGAUCGGACGUGUCCUGGGAUGGACAGUUCACGCGCCACCACCACUACCAGUUCGAUAUGACUCGUGUCAUCAUCAGCAGACACAAAGCAAAAAUGUAUACUCAUCUUUGAGGGAUGAAUAG
rnacentral:rRNA from 1 species